UAGGGCAUAGUUCAGUGGUAGAAUGCUUGUCUUGCAUUUAUGAGGGCCUAGGUUCAAUCCUUAGCAUCCUAA
rnacentral:tRNA from 1 species